GAAGAAUUGCCACCGGGUAAUCAAAGCAUUUUUCAUCCAUCGUUAGGUCUUAGUAGAUGGAUGAGAAUGCUUAUUUUUUU
rnacentral:ncRNA from 1 species